rnacentral:misc_RNA from 1 species
AACAUCGCGCACCUGCGGGAACCUGCGGAAGGAUCAUUACAGAGUUCGUGCCCUCGCGGGUAGAUCUCCCACCCUUGUGUAUUCUCUACAUCUUGUUGCUUUGGCAGGCCGUUGGUUCGCCAACCACCGGCUCGCGGGCUGGUGCGUGCCUGCCAGAGGACCUCUCAAACUCGGUUUGUUAGUGUCGUCUGAGUACCAUAACAAUCGUUAAAACUUUCAACAACGGAUCUCAGAUCGGAA